UAAAAAAUUCUGUACACAAAGGGAC
rnacentral:piRNA from 1 species